AUGCGAGAGGCAGCACGCAGGCUCUCCGGGUUGGCCAGUGAAGAAAUCUCCUUUAAGAUGUUACCUUCUGCAAGAUCUAGGAGAUCCCACAGAUCCUUAGGCCAGAAGGUCCCGUUAUGCUCAUCUGGUCUGACCUCCUGCAUUACACAGGGCAUACAAUUUCAUACUGCGAUCUCUUCAUCUAUACAAGUUAUUUGCAGCUGAGCUAAAUCAUAGCUUAUAGAAAGAUAGUCAAAAUACAUACAGCCCUGUGUAGCACUCCUAAAUCCAGACUUUAAGUUUCCUUUGAAACAGUCCUCAAUUAGAAGCUUCUGUCCCUGCUCCCCCUGCAAUAUCAGAAGAGUCCCUUAUCCCUCCUCGACUGCACUAAGCUAUUUUAGAUGUAACUUUUAUGUUUGUAGAUGUUUCAGGAGAGCUCUGAUUUAUCAGCAGUCUCCUCUUCUUUCACCCUCUUGUUCAAGCAUUUCAACAGAGCAACAGAUGGUCCUUGCGGGCCAUUUGCUGUGAUUGGAAUUGUACCGUCCCAAAGAAGGGCUGCUUUCUUAGAGCUAAAAGUGAGUCUAAGUUUUCUUAACCAGUAAGAAUCUCAAAUGACACCUCGAUUUUCCUUGCUGCAAAAGAAAACACACUUCCCAACAGUUGAAGGUUGAAAUCUGCAAACUUUAAAAAUCAUCUCUCGGCACAUGGACUUAUCAUACCCUCCUAAUCACAGAGAAUGGAGAUUUUGAAGGUACAACACAGAAAAUUCCUCAUUUUUGUCUCUGUACCUUUGGAUCCUGAACUUAGAAUGAUGGAAAUGAUUCAUUUGAAAGCAUCCCCUGUUCUCAUUAUUAAUUGAUAUCAUUGGCACAUUUAAGCAUUCGUAGGGUCUAGUUUCAAUUUUGUACCAUAUUGAUGCUUCUUAGAAGAGCAGGAAUUACAUGAGCCAAAAGCUUUAUAUCUUAGUACAGAAAAGGACUGGAAUAAAAAUGCCCUCUAAUAGACUUUUAAUCA
rnacentral:lncRNA from 1 species